AAAUCUACAAGAUUCCCAUUGAUGUUUCUUUUGCAUCAUUCUAAGUGACAAAGGAAGUCCAAAACUUUUGGCUUUUUGUUCUAUAUGUGCCCAUAAAACUACCUCCCUUUCUGGCCAAUAGGGUGCUUCUGGUUCUGCCUCAAUACCAAACAAACUUGGCUCAAGAGACUCAAAUUUUGAUGGAAAAAUUGAAUCUUUACUCCCAA
rnacentral:misc_RNA from 1 species